GCAUAUCAAUAAGCGGAGGAAAAGAAACUAACAAGGAUUCCCCUAGUAACGGCGAGUGAAGCGGGAAGAGCUCAAAUUUGAAAGCUGGCACCUUCGGUGUCCGCGUUGUAAUCUCGAGAAGUGUUUUCCGUGCUGGACCAUGUACAAGUUCCUUGGAAUAGGACGUCAUAGAGGGUGAAAAUCCCGUACUUGACAUGGACGCCCAGUGCUUUGUGAUACACUCUCCACGAGUCGAGUUGUUUGGGAAUGCAGCUCAAAAUGGGUGGUAAAUUCCAUCUAAAGCUAAAUAUUGGGGAGAGACCGAUAGCGAACAAGUACCGUGAGGGAAAGAUGAAAAGCACUUUGGAAAGAGAGUUAAACAGUACGUGAAAUUGUCGAAAGGGAAGCGCUUGAAGUUAGACAUGCUUGUCGGGAUUCAGCCUUGCUUUUGCUUGGUGUAUUUCCCGGUGUGCAGGCCAGCAUCAGUUUUGUUUGCCGGAUAAGGGUGAGAGGAAUGUGGCCCCUUGGGGUGUUAUAGCCUCUCACUGGAUACGGCGGAUGGGACUGAGGACCGCAGUGUGCCUUUAUGGCGGGCCUUCGGGCACCUCACACUA
rnacentral:rRNA from 1 species